CAUUUCCACAGUUUUCUCUUUCCGGUUGAGCGUUCAGACGUCGUAAUAGAUUUUACCAUCAUGUCUGGAAGAGAAGGAGGUAAGAAGAAGCCGCUGAAAGCGCCGAAGAAAAAACAGGGGGAAAUGGAUGAGGAUGACCUGGCCUUAAAACAGAAGCAAAAGGAAGAACAGAAGGCGUUGAAGGAAGCAAAAGAAAAAGCUGGCAAGAAAGGCCCAUUGUCGAGUGGUGGUAUAAAGAAGUCUGGCAAAAAAUAACCCCAACUUUGGCCUUGCUCUUGAUUCUUAUAUGAAGAUUUCAAAAGAUUAUUGGACAACAUCGGAUUAUUUGCAUGAAGUGUGGAAAUGAACUUUCAAGGAAUCAGACAAGGCUGUUUGUUAUUUUUAGAUGUUUUUUGUAGAUUUCUUCAUCAGUGAAAACUUUAAUAGCAGUGUAAUCUUGGUUGAAAGAUCUCCACUUUUGAAUAUUGCAUCUGUGUCCAUCUACUGUACAAUACUAGUAAAAUAGAAACUGAUGGUUCAAGUGUUUACAGAAUUCAAUUUUUUGUUGUACCAGUACUUGACAUGAUUGUACAAUUCAUAUCCACCUGUUGUAUCCAUGUAAGACAUUUACCAGUCCAGCAAGACACUCAAGUAUUGCCCUCGUUCCAUUUUUCUCUGUCUACAACAUACUGUAGGCAUAAAAGAUGGGUUUGAAGUAAAAUGCAUAACGUAUUUUACAAAUAA